GUUUACUGCUCCUGAUGCAUUUUGUCCCUACUCUCAUCACUCUCAGCUGCAAUAUUUUCUUCAACAGUUGAGUAUUGUGUCCAGAGCUGCUUCUUCUUCUGGUUGCAAUAGUUGCAAUAAAAAUCUCCUUUCUGGAAAGUUCUUGAAUGAAAACCCAGGCAAUGAUGAACACAAACAUAAAUGGCAGAUGACUUUACUAUUUGAUUGUGGUGUCUUAACUAUAUUUACUCUAUGGUGUUAAGAACGUACCCACACACCUCCUAAGAAUUCUCUCUUCACAUCCAGCGCACUCCUGAUUCACAGAUAAAUACAAAAUCACUGUGGUAUUUAACCAAUUUAACCUAAACACCCACCAAAACAAAAUAAAUUCCAAUUUAC